rnacentral:rRNA from 1 species
CGUCAAAUCAUCAUGCCCUUUAUGUCCUGGGCUACACACGUACUACAAUGGGUGUAACAGAGAGAAGCGAAGCAGUGAUGCGAAGCGAAACUUAGAAAAACAUCCUCAGUUCAGAUUGAAGGCUGAAAUUCGCCUUUAUGAAGAUGGAAUUGCUAGUAAUGGCAGGUCAGCAUACUGCCGUGAAUACGUUCCCGGGCCUU